AGGGUUUGAUCCUGGCUCAGGACGAACGCUGGCGGCGUGCUUAACACAUGCAAGUCGAACGGAGCACCCUUGACUGAGGUUUCGGCCAAAUGAUAGGAAUGCUUAGUGGCGGACUGGUGAGUAACGCGUGAGGAACCUACCUUCCAGAGGGGGACAACAGUUGGAAACGACUGCUAAUACCGCAUGAUGCAUGACCGGGGCAUCCCGGGCAUGUCAAAGAUUUUAUCGCUGGAAGAUGGCCUCGCGUCUGAUUAGCUAGAUGGUGGGGUAACGGCCCACCAUGGCGACGAUCAGUAGCCGGACUGAGAGGUUGACCGGCCACAUUGGGACUGAGAUACGGCCCAG
rnacentral:rRNA from 1 species